AGACACAAACAUGCACACGCAUUAAAUGUCUGAACAUAGCAUCCUACAUACAUGCAUACUAAUACAGCUAUGUCAUUACUCAGUUUUAGGUUCGUUAUAAUGGUAAUCAAGUUAACAAAAAUGAUCCUCCUUGGUUAAUCCUUGGAGCAGACCAGCGGCUCUUAUUUUGACAGGCUGCUCCAGCUUCGUGAUGCCGGUGUGCCGCCUGCUGUCCGUCACCUCCUCUUACCUCCAUCUGACCUUGGCUGAUGCCAUGCUGCUGGAAAACACCGGAGCCGUAUGCGAAAGCCACGCUGAUGUCCUGCGGGAACUGGGCCAGGAUUCUCCGAGAUUGAAGUAUCUGUCUUGGGGGUGUCCUCUGAUUAAAUCCCUUGCUGGAGGUGGAAGGAAAAAUUAAAUGUAUUUGCCAUCAGGUAAAGGCUUUGCAAAAUCUCAGUGUUUUAGGCCUUUUAAACUUAUAGCUACCGUAAUUAGAAUUGCUUAUUUCUUCCAUGACCUAAUCUUAUGAUACUAGCUCUUUACAGGACCGUGACAGUUAAAAAUGCUGCCUGAAGAUGUUAAAACUGCAAAAGAUUUGCAUGUUCAAAGAAAAUCCUUCUUUGAGUCCGUAAUUUGAAUUCUUUUAUUCCAUCAAACCAAAAUCACUCCUGUCCAUGAACACACAUGUCAGUAAACCCAUGGAAAACAACAGGUAGAAACAUCAAGAUUUUUUCAAAUUUUUGCAUGCCUGUUGCCAUGGUGAUGGUCACUGCUGCCUGGACCCAGUGAGGGUGCAUCAAAAGAAAACGUCCACAGUAAAAAAAAAAGGCUGUCUGCACCACUGCGUCAGUAUUUUCAUUUACAGUUUCUGACAGAGGCUAGUAAAACAAAAAUUUACUGAGACAGAUUACUAAAUUUGCAUAAAUAAUCCAAGUGUUGAUGUUGUAUUUGAAUUUGUAAAUGUCUUUUUUUUUUAACAAACUUUAAUGUCAAUAAUUAGCUAAUGUGUUUGGAACUAAAUCACCAUGAGGUAUUUGAAAAGUCUUUUAGUCCCCAUGUUUGUUUAAUUUUGUUAAAAAAUAGAAUAGUUCCAAUUCUUGAUUGAACAUUUAGUUCUACCUCAAAUGAGUGGGGACUGUGUGGCUCUUAAUGUUUCUGUAGCUUUUUGCACAAAGGGAAUUUUGAUCUAUUACAUUCCAUUUCAAAUCAGUUAUAUAGUUACGUCCCAUCAGCAUCUGCAUUUUUUUGCAUUGCAGGUAGAAUUUUCUGAUUUUCGGUUCUCAUGCCCUGUUUUUUUUUUACAAUAAGCCGAUUCAAUAAAAUGUGCUGCAUCCGAUAUAUAUUUAUGGUAUGUAAUAACACUUUGUGUCUCUGCAAAUCGUAAAGUUUAAACAUAUGUUAUGGUAUAUUGAUGAAUUUGAUUCCUUGUUACUUUAGCGAGCCUCGCUAUCUUACUUGUUGUCAUGACAAAUUUUGUUGUUUUGUUUCCUGCUCUUUCUAAAAUGUACGGAACAAAGAAACCUUGUGUGGGAAGAAAAAAAACGUCCUUUCAACCCCACAGAACUGAAGUGACGUGUUUUUUGCCAGCUUCACAUGUUCACCAGAGUGUGUUGCAAAGUAGCUUCACUGAUCAUUAUUUCAUAGACAUUUUGCUGCAGACAUUUGUUCCAGUCUUCUGUGACCAUAACUCUGUGAUUCAAGCUGAAAUGUUCAUCAUAGAAAACCCAUCUGUUUUUAUAGUUAGGUGUUGUAUCAGAUGCACAUUUCAAAUACAAGAAGAAAAAAGUAGCAACAAAAAAAGGCUUAGUCUUUUACUCUAAAAGCUCUGGUUGAAUCAGACUUUUGUUUUAUGAAAGGAAAUGUGGAUAACUUCAAGUGUUCUCUGUUUCACACUGUACUAUUUCUGCAUCAGCUUUGCUCUGCUUCAUUUAUUUCCACUGCAGGUGGUCAAAAGUCAGUUCAAGUAUAUCACAGAUGUAUCGAGGAUUUUAGUAUGGCUCUAAAAUGCUAUAGUUUCAUCAGAUUACCGAGGUAACACUAUAGAGGAGAGGUAACACCAUGUCAGGGCGACCUGUUGCUCUUUCCAGGCAUGCAAAAAGCACAUCUGAUUAUAUUGCGCAUCAUUCACCUUGUGUUAUUGAGAGUGUGUUGUGUUUAUGCAUGAAUGGUAAUUGAAAAAAACACUCCCACAUCCUGA